UACGUAGGGUGCGAGCGUUAAUCGGAAUUACUGGGCGUAAAGUGUGCGCAGGCGGCCGCGCAAGUCGAGUGUGAAAGCCCCGAGCUUAACUUGGGAAUUGCGCUCGAAACUACGUGGCUGGAGUGUGGCAGAGGAAGGUGGAAUUCCACGUGUAGCGGUGAAAUGCGUAGAGAUGUGGAGGAACACCAAUGGCGAAGGCAGCCUUCUGGGCCAACACUGACGCUCGAUGCACGAAAGCGUGGGGAGCAAACAGG
rnacentral:rRNA from 1 species